UACGAGGGGGGCAAGCGUUGUUCGGAAUUAUUGGGCGUAAAGGGCGCGUAGGCGGUGCGGUAAGUCUGAUGUGAAAUCUCCGGGCUCAACUCGGAGUCUGCAUCAGAAACUGCCGUGCUUGAGUGUGGGAGAGGUGAGUGGAAUUCCCGGUGUAGCGGUGGAAUGCGUAGAGAUCCGGAAGAACACCGGUGGCGAAGGCGGCCUGCUGGGCAGUAGCUGACGCUGAGGCGCGACAGCGUGGGGAGCAAACAGG
rnacentral:rRNA from 1 species